AAAGCCGUAGGGUACCCCCACAUUAUUAUUAUUUUUUCCUAUAUAAUUAUACCAAAAAUAAUAAUGUCAUCCAAACUUGCUUUUUACAACAUUAUUAUUAUUUUCCUGCAACAAUUAUAAUCUUGUCUGUUAAAUGUGUACACAUUAUUAUUAUUGUGUCCUACAAUUAUAAUGAUUCACUUCACAAUAAUAAUCUUGCUCAGUCAAUAUGUAGACACAUUAUUAUAAUUUCUCGCCUCAUGAUUAUAAUCUUGUCAGUCUAUAUUUAAAUGUGUACACAUUAUUAUUAUUUUGUCCUACAAUUAUAAUGAUCCAAACUUUACAAUAAUAAUCUUGCCAGUCAAUGUGGACACAUUAUUAUAAUUUUUCGCCUCAUGAUUAUAAUCUUGUCAGUCGAUGUUUAAAAACAUUAUUUUUAUUUCACCUCAAAAUUAUAAUAAUUAUUCUUACUUUUAACAAUUAUAAUCAUGUUUGCCCAAGCGAACACAUUAUUUUUAUUUCGCUUCAAUUUCAUGCCAAUUUUAUUCCACAUCGAUCAUACAAUUAUAAUCUGUCUUACUCCAACAAUAAUAAUCGCGACCAAAAAAAGUUGCAACAUUAUUAUUAUUUAGACGCUUGAAAUCAAACGUUUCUGUGAUUUUGAUGUACUGAACAAUUAUAAUCUUGUCAGAUUUUCUUUGGGAAAGAUUAUUAUUAUUUGGACGCUUGAAAAAGUAAACGUUUGUCUGCCGAAGACAAUCACGUGGUUUAAGGCCAUGUGCUUCCCUAGUAUCAACAGUGCCGAGGACGGCGCCAGUGAAAGGCAGGCGGUUUGCCGAUUAUGCACAAGUUGAAGAAAGGAGCUGCUGUGGGAUGGUAAAAAAAGUUCCAGGAGCAACAAAGAGUCUUGAUUUUUAUAGGGGUGCAGAUUUUAAAGAAAGAAAACUGUGUUGUAAAGAAAGAAGAUUUUCCAUCAAAUAAUGGUGGAUGACAAAGUUCUUCCUAUGAAUGAUGUCAUAACCCACUUUGAAAAAAAAGUUUGUUGGAGAGAAAAGGAUCUGAAGAGGGAGAAAGAAUUGAUUAUAUUCAGAUGGAUUUAUAGACUGUUAGACCUUUUGCUAUCACUUAAUUCUGUACUAUUAGUUCUGCAACACUGAGCCUAUAAGCUUUUGACUUGAUGGUUUAUCUAAUUUGAGAGAGCCUAGUCCAUUUUUUAAGCAUUUCAAGAUUAACAAUGCAGAAUAUGUACACAUGUAAUGGCAGGUAAAAAUCCCACACAAACAGGACACUGAUAAGACUGGAAUUUAGAGAUAUUUCAUUUCUCUCUUGUGUGAAUUAAAAAAAAUUAAUGCCAGAAACAAUAUAAUAAAUUAAUAACUUAG